UACGGGGGGGAGCAAGCGUUGUUCGGAUUUACUGGGCGUAAAGGGCGCGUAGGCGGUCGUGACAAGUCACUUGUGAAAUCUCCGGGCUUAACUCGGAACGGUCAAGUGAUACUGUCGGACUAGAGUACAGAAGGGGCAACUGGAAUUCUCGGUGUAGCGGUGAAAUGCGCAGAUAUCAGGAGGAACACCGAUGGCGAAGGCGGGUCUCUGGGCCGAUACUGACGCUGAGGAGCGAAAGCGUGGGGAGCGAACAGG
rnacentral:rRNA from 1 species